UCGCACUAACGAUAGCUAGUUUCCUCGGAAAGAUAUAAAAGUGUCGGGAAAAAUAUAAUUUAUAAUAUAAAUUAUUAUAUAUAUAUAUAUGUAUUUUACUAAUUUUUUUGAGGAUAAGCUCAAAAAAAAGUUAAGAAUUAUUUUUAAUUAAAUUUGCUGUAUGGGCCUAAAAUUGGCCACUAUAAAAGUUUUUUAUAAAAUAGUAAUUUUAGCUUUAUAGAUAAAUAUAAUUUUAAACUAACUUUCUACGGGGACAAAAACUUUAAUUUAAAAAAGUUUUAUGCCUAUGCUAGAAUGAGUAUUAAAAACUUAGUUAUAUGAAGAUUUAUUUAUUUUAAUAUCUUCUUAAAAAAUAAUCAAUAAAAUUAAUUAAUUAGAAGGAACUCGGCAAAUUUAGCUGUUUCGCCUGUUUAUCAAAAACAUGGCUCUUUGGCUAUAUAAAUAUAAAGAGUCGGGCCUGCCCAGUGAAAAAUAAAAUUUUAACGGCCGCGGUACUCUGACCGUGCAAAGGUAGCAUAAUCAUUUGCCUUAUAAUUGAAGGCCAGUAUGAAUGGUUUGACGAGAACAGCACUGUCUCCUUUUUAAUUUCAAGAAUUUAACUUUUAGGUGAAGAGGCCUAAAUUUUAUUGAAGGACAAGAAGACCCUGUCGAGCUUAAAAGAUAUUGUAGAACCUUAUAUUUUUAAAAAACAACUUUCUACUAAGCUUUUUAGUUGGGGCGACUAAGGAACAAAAAAAGCUUCUUUUUAAGAACAGACAGUCAUGUUUAGAUCCAAUAAAUUUGAUCAAAGAAAUUAGUUACCGCAGGGAUAACAGCAUAAUCUCUCUUGAGAGGCCUAAUCGAAAGAGGGGGUUGUGACCUCGAUGUUGGACUAGAAUAUCCUAAAGAUGCAGAAGUCUUUAAGG
rnacentral:rRNA from 1 species